CAGCCGCCGCGGUAAUACGUAGGUGGCAAGCGUUGUCCGGAAUUAUUGGGCGUAAAGGGCUCACAGGCGGUUUCUUAAGUCUGAUGUGAAAGCCCCCAGCUCAACCGGGGAGGGUCAUUGGAAACUGGGAAACUUGAGUGCAGGAGAGGAGAGUGGAAUUCCACGUGUAGCGGUGAAAUGCGUAGAGAUGUGGAGGAACACCAGUGGCGAAGGCGACUCUCUGGUCUGUAACUGACGCUGAGGAGCGAAAGCGUGGGGAGCGAACAGGAUUAGAUACCCGCGUAGUCCCUGUCUCUUAUAC
rnacentral:rRNA from 1 species